UAGCCAUUAACUACAUGUGGCCACUGGGCACUUGAAACAUGGAGAGCUCAUGUGCCCACAUCAUUUCACUCAAAGAAGGAAAGCAGAGUGGGCUAGUGAGGAAGCACCACUGCCUUUAACCCAACAUUUAACCUCUCGGUGGCUCAUUGUUCUGUAAAAGCUACACAUCUGCAUGAGGACAGAUUUUCUUCAUACAUUUCAACCAAAACAACAUACAGCAACAGAAUGAAUGCAGAAGCAGACUUCAUAAUACGCGGAAAACCUGGACACAACCUGCCUGCCCACUGUUAUGCUGUGCCCAGUCUACUACGGGCCCCAACCAGACGCCAUGUGAAACCACAAAAGCAAAAGCAUCUUUGACACAGCCUGAGCCCUCCGGAGGCUCCCAGUCUAUGGAGAGAUACGCUGGUGCAUAGUUCUCCAUGACUUAGGUUCCUCCACUGAGAAAUGGAGUGAAGACUAAUAGCUACCUAAAAGGGUCAUCGUGACAAUUAAAUGAGUUCAUAUGUGCAUAUAAAGACUGGACACAGAAUCUUUACAGAGAAAACACUCGUAACAGGCUCUCCAAGGAAAAAGAAGGAAUCCACUGCUGACGACACUCAGUCCUCUCAGGGUUGCUGACAUCCCACAAAACAACUGGACCCCAGCCUCCAUGACACCUGGACGUGCAAAGAGAAGGACUGAGCGAACUAUAGAGCUGCUGCAUCUUUUAAAUGAAUGGGGAGAGGAAGCUGACGGUAUUCAUACACUAAAUCAGAGCCUUGAGUACAGCAGGAGAGGAGACGCCAAAACUCUGGCUCGGCUUGCAUCACAACACUGACAUCUGUUGGCUGCAAGCGCGCUGGAUCCUCUGCAGCUGCGGGACCGCUCCUACGAAACUGAAUCUCUUAACGGCCCUGGGCCAUUUAAGAUAUGUGAUGUCCUUCACUCCUAAUAGAUUGCAAACUUGUGUUCAGAGUUUCUUAUGUUAGCCUUCAACUCUCUCACGAAACAAGACUUUAUGCCAUUUUAAUUCUUUUCUAAAACAAAUCAAACAUUUGCGUAUGCAACAUCCACAUCCAUCCAAACAAGCUGCAUAA